UACGAAGGGACCUAGCGUAGUUCGGAAUUACUGGGCUUAAAGAGUUCGUAGGUGGUUGAAAAAGUUGGUUGUGAAAUCCCAGAGCUUAACUCUGGAACUGCAAUCAAAACUUUUCAGCUAGAGUGUGAUAGAGGAAAGCAGAAUUUCUAGUGUAGAGGUGAAAUUCGUAGAUAUUAGAAAGAAUACCGAUUGCGAAGGCAGCUUUCUGGAUCAUUACUGACACUGAGGAACGAAAGCAUGGGUAGCGAAGAGGAUUAGAUACCCUCGUAGUCCAUGCCGUAAACGAUGUGUGUUAGACGUUGGAAAUUUAUUUUCAGUGUCGCAGCGAAAGCGAUAAACACACCGCCUGGGGAGUACGACCGCAAGGUUAAAACUCAAAUGAAUUGACGGGGACCCGCACAAGUAGUGGAGCAUGUGGUUUAAUUCGAAGAUACGCGCAGAACCUUACCAACACUUGACAUGUUCGUCGCGACUUUAAGAGAUUAGAGUUUUCGGUUCGGCCGGACGAAACACAGGUGCUGCAUGGCUGUCGUCAGCUCGUGUCGUGAGAUGUUGGGUUAAGUCCCGCAACGAGCGCAACCCUCACUUUUAGUUGCCAUCAUUAAGUUGGGCACUCUGAAAGAACUGCCAGUGAUAAGCUGGAGGAAGGUGGGGAUGACGUCAAGUCCUCAUGGCCCUUACGUGUUGGGCUACACACGUGCUACAAUGGUAUCUACAACAGGAAGCAAGACUGCGAAGUUAAGCAAAUCCUUAAAAGAUACCUCAGUUCGGAUUGCACUCUGCAACUCGAGUGCAUGAAGCUGGAAUUACUAGUAAUCGUGGAUCAGCGUGCCACGGUGAAUGCGUUCCCGGGUCU
rnacentral:rRNA from 1 species